rnacentral:rRNA from 1 species
UGCCAGCAGCCGCGGUAAUACGGAGACCUCGAGCGUUACUCGGAUUCACUGGGCGUAAAGGGAGCGCAGGCGGAUUGGUGUGUCAGGUGUGAAAGCCCAGGGCUCAACUCUGGAACUGCGCCUGAAACUACCAAUCUUGAGGCUUGGAGAGGUAAGCGGAAUUCCUGGUGUAGCGGUGAAAUGCAUAGAUAUCAGGAGGAACACCAAUGGCGAAGGCAGCUUACUGGACAAGUUCUGACGCUCAGGCUCGAAAGCGUGGGUAGCGAAAGGGAUUAGAUA